UACACCGAACUAGUUCUACAGUUGUUCACGGGUGAGGGAUUGAUCGGUUACUCAAGUUGUCAAGGGUUGUUUUAGGGUUGCAUUGCUUUGAGAAGGAGUUUUGAUGGGUCAUGGACUUGUUGAUGAUGUAUCAAGUGGCUGUGGAGGAAUUGUUAGAUUUAUGAUGUUGUGCACAGCGCCCCCUUGGUGCUUGUAGUGUAGAUUGGAUGCACUGUGGCAACAACUGGUUAGCUGUCAGAUGUGGCAUUCUCUUAGUAUUUGGAAGUUAGCCUUCGGUGAGCUUGGUUCGGAGUUCAAAGGGUAUCAUCAGACUGAUUGUAGGAUAUAUUUGGUUGUAUUUGUGCCAUCCUUCACGGGGAUUAUUUCUACAAGUCAGGAUUGUAUAGUGGAAGACUGAUUGGUCAUUUUGGUGUGGAUAUUUGCAGUCGGAAACUUAAGCUCUUUUGAGGAUUUGUGGUGGAUACCGAACUCGUGCCAGGUGGAAGGAUUUCCGAAAUUAGAUUCAUAAGAAACAGAAGGCCCUCAGUCACUCAUCAAGUCCCAGCAGGACUUCCGUGCAGAACACCGCACACGAAGAAUCGUAUAGAAAACCCCUUGGCCAGGGUAAGAAUUUUACCAUUAAAUGUGUUUUAAAUGAUUUUAGUAAUUUCUGGUUCCAUCGUUAUAUCUCAACUGAAUAUUAGUAUUGAAGAGAGGUUUCAACACUCAUUCAAUUUUCUUGAUUUUUACGGAUCAUAUGGUUAUACAGGGCACCCAAAAAUAUACUCUUGUUAUCUUGCUACUUUGCUUGAUGAAAAUAUACCAGGGGUAUUGAUUAGUCAAAUAGUCCUAUUGAAUGGGGGUUGAAUCUCACCUUGUUUCAUCUGAUUCUGAUUGAGAAUUUUCUUCCGUAGGGUUUUUCUUCCUGCUUUUCUUUUCCUGUUUUUUUUUGUCUUCGUUCCUGUUUCCUUUUUCUUUUCCUGUCUUUUUUUUCCCCUAUUUUCUUUCUGGAUCUUAUUUGGUGAUCCAUUACUGGUCCAGCUUGUCGUGCCCUACAGGGUGAUCUAUCUUGGUGGUGCUACAGGGUGAUCCAUCUCCGCCGUACUACAGGGUGAUCCAUCUCAGCAGUACUACAGGGUGAUCCACUUCCGCCAUACUACAGGGUAGCCUAACACCAUAUACCGGGUGGCCCAAAAGGAGCACGCAAGUUAUAAUUGAUUUAUUUGAAAAUUUGUGCAAUACUGAGAUAUUUAAAUAAUUGUUUGCCCUUAUGUUUAUUGAUACCUGUUGAUAUAGUGUUGUUUAUCGUU